GCUUGUGCUGCGGCGGGCUUUUUCUUUUUCCUUUCUUGUAGCGCUGUGGGGCCGGGGGUUGACAUCCCCAUCGCUCCCGUGGCGGGGGGCGGCAGGACCGCUCGGUCGGCUGCUUUGGUUUGUCUUUAUUUCGCUCCGUGUCUCCCCUAAGAUCUGUUUAUUUAACAACACCGUUUAAUUUCCACCUGUGUUUCUUCGCCAUCAAUAUUAAUGCAUCGCAGUACUUCCCCUUCUGCCUUCCUUCCCUCCCCAGCCCUCCUUUCCCCACGAGCUUCUCGCAUUUAAGAGAUCUCAUUGCAGGAAUAGGUUCUUAGCAUCCUCCUUGCUUCCACUCGGAGUGCAAUCCCUUCCUUUGUUAAGUGUUUGAUACAGGUGAGCAAUUAGCUGUAUUCUGUAAGGUUUUCUCACCUGGAACAGCCAGGCUCUUUUCUAACCUGGUUACCACGUGUGCUUCUUUAGAUUGGGAUCACUCAGUGUGACAAGAAAACGUUUCUAUUCUUUGUUUGAUACCCACACCGAUGCUUGAGCUCUGCAUAGUUCUUAGAGACAUAAACUGCUCCCUUCAGGUCUGACACAUCCACAGAAUGCAGCUCUCAGCGUCUCUGUGCUCUUCCCUCCAUCUCUCAGCUGCAAUCUGUACCACUGCUUUUUGUGCCCAUACAAACAGAAGUAUGGGACUGUUUUCCUAAUCUGGUUUUGCUUCUCUUAAUUUCUUAGGCUUUUCUUGCAGUUUGAAGUGGAAACGAUGCUCCUCACGUUCUGUCCUUAACUGCUAUGAAGUAUACUUUUCAACUACUGCAUUUCCUGUGGCAGCUUCCUCACCACGCUCUGGGGUUGGCCUACCCUGGUGUUGGUUGGUUCUUCGUCCUUCUGUCAGCGUUUUGUUCAACUUGUGUGUCCUUUCCCUUCAUCUCUGAGUUGUUUCUUCGUAAUGGAAACUUCCAGCAUCGUUUCAGAUGGUCCUUCUGAGGCUGCCAAGGCCUGGUGAACAGGGCAGUCGCCUUUUGAGUCGUCCUGAAGGCUGUGCUCCUGCAAGCCUGCCUUUCUUAUGGAUGGUUGUCAUUAUGGGGCCUUGAAUCUUUCAGUAUUACAUGAAAUUGUUUCAACCUAUCUGUUGUAAACUGUUUGUGAUAGCUUCUGUGUGGGCUGAUAAAGUUUCCUUUUUGAAAGGGAGUUCAUCUUGCUCAGUGAUUUCUGUGAGAGCUGUAAGGCUCUAUCUUGCUGCCUGUCCCCCUGCUGUAUCUGAAGGAAGAUCGUCUGAUAACUGCUGGAACUUUACUGGUCAAAUUGUGGGCAGGAAAAAGAAAGUAAGCUUACAAUGUAUGGCUGUGUCUGGUUCAGUACCCAGGUUGCUAAGAAUUUUGAGGACAGAAAUGAAUUCUCUUUUAAAUUGUUUCAUUAUUAUUUUAUUUUAUUUUUUUUCCCUUUAGAGGUUAAGAUUCUCAGACAAGGAGAAAGGAUGAAACUGAUGUCCUUAAACUGAUUUCUUGCAUUAAGCAUGCCCUAUAAACAGCUGUAAUUGGCUUUUAUGGAUUCAGGGGAAUAGCUGAUCUGAAUCGCUCUGAAAUUGGAUGGCUUUUAUUUAUAGGCCUUUAUCCUGUUCUCAUUGCCAUGGAGCAUCUCAUGAGCUUUUGUUUCAGGCUGGUGAUGGAGGGCAGGACUGCAGGAAAGUGCAGGUGCCAGGAGUUGGAGGGGGGCUGCUUGGGCCUUCGUUUGUGCUGCUAAGUCAGAUUGGUCUUUUUCCUGUGUGUGCAGUGGGUGUUUGGUGCCUUCAGAAGAAGAUGGACGUGUGUCCAAGUGAAGAAAGGGCCCUUGAUAGCAGGAUGUAGCAGCGGGCACGGUGGUCUCAUGAGCAAAAGCAAUGGGAUGAAACACUUUGCCCGCAGCUGCUGAAGAAACCUGUCCCAUCGGAGUGGGAAAGAAGGGAAGUGUGUUUUCUUUGUUUAACCAAAAAGUAGCAUUUUAAAAGGGAAUAAGCUACUUUGCUUGUGCUGCACUGUUGUUCAAGACAGCUGUUAAACUGGCAUGUAAACAAAUACUGAAGUUAAUUGAGCUGCUUGUGUCUCUAAGCAAUGAGCUCUCCGUUCCUGUGAAGCUGCACAAGUUCUGCUCUCUGACAAACCUGGGCUGUCUCCAUUGCUCACUCCAUAGUGAAGCAUGGACACAGCAGCCACGCUGCCGUGCCCAGGGCAAGCUGCAUGCAGGCAGUGUGGUGCAGCAGAGAGGAGCUGCUAGAAGCAGCGUGCCUCCAAGUGCUGUGAGUGCUGCUGUCCGAGGCCCUGCAGGUUGUUGGGUUCCCCAUCCACCAGGCCAGCAUCACAUCUGUGCCGUCCUGCUGAUGCCAACAGCUCUCGGGCUCUUUGUAGACUUCUGGUAAUGAUCUGUGUUGGGAUAUAAUACAUUGAAACUUGUCCUUUUAAAUUAUUUUUAUGCACGGUUCUGCAGAACAAAAGCUGUGAUUCCUUUUAAGUGCUGGCGUUCCUCAGCCUAACCCUUAUCUGCUCUGAAGGGAAGAAGCUGGGCAGGCAAUCUGGCCCUUGCUGCUCUCACUGUCUUCCCUACCCUCAGGGAUGCAAUAUGCUGUAUUGGAAAGGAGAGACUGACCCAGAAAGAGAGGAUGUUCUGCGUAUGUAGUUCUAAAAUGCACGGUUUAAAAAAGAAGUAAGUUUAAAGCAAAUGAAAACAUAAACCAUUUGAUUUCCCCUCCUCCAUCCCAGGGGAACAGCCUGCAGGAAGCACAGCCCUGCACGUGUGUCUGAGGGUCUCUGUCGUGUUGUGCUGCUGGAGCACACAGGAAAUAUUUUCCUGCUUAUUUAUGCUUCAGCUAAAUAUAACAUUUCUCCACCUCUGGUGCUGCAAUUACUAUUAAACAACGUGGCAAUUGGGAGUUCAGUCAUUGACAAAUCUUCCUCUGACACGGAAGUCCCAUUUAAAUUACUUAAGAUCUUGAUAGCUUCUGCUUGUUUAAUGUUAUGGAGGGGGCUGCAGCCUGGCUAAGGGAGCAGUGCUCUCCUAUGAAACCUUUAGUAGGCCUAGCAGUGUCUUCUUUAGAGAUGCUCCCAUCUCUUACUCGUUGUUUUUCACCAACUGUUGUUUUUUAGUUUUCCUAAUGAAAACUUACUGACUUAAAGGACAUACUGAAUAUAAAAUGCCUUUUUCUCUCGUGCCUCUUACUAGUUUACUGGUAAGUUUCUUUGCAGAGCUGGCAGCUGCUGUGUCCUCCUCCUUGUUGCUUAGUUUCCUGGGGCAUUGCUUUACAAGUUGUCAGCUUUGGAGUAUUGUUAUCACGACCAGUGAAGUACAGCCCAAAGAAGCAGUGGCAGCAGUCAGCUCUUGGUGGGCAGGUCAGCCCUCCUCUGUUGCCUGCUCACUUUAUUUCAGUGUUGAUCCUUAGGUUGAAGGAAGUUUUGUCUUGGUUCCAGUUUUGCCUUUUCUUGUUCUUGGGGUGUGAUGCUGUUUGUGGCAUCUCGGAUAUAAAAGUUGCAGCUUUCAAAAUACGAAGUUAAAUGGAAGCGGUGAGUGAAACGUGCACUGCACUGAUCUCCUCUUGAGCUGCAGCUGCACUGAGUUCAUGUGUUGGGGGAAAAAAGUCACUUAAAAAUUGGGUGAGGUGCUGCAAGGAGUCCCUGUCUGCCCGCCGCGAUCCGUGCUGUCAGAGCAGCCAAGGAAGGCUGGGAGGUCGGGCUGCUGUGUGGUGUCUGCUGUUAUUCUGUGCCACUGAAACAUUUACUUAAGAGCUGCGUGAAUGAAGGCUGCCUUUCAGAAGGGAUCUGCUGGAAGUAUCUGGGUGUGAGAGGGCACCGACUGAGGAUUUCCAGAGAGAUCUAUAACUGCAAUUCCUGUGUCUUGGGGAAUUUUCCAAGACAGAAAACAGCCUUUGGGCAGCUCAGCUCUGUGUAGCUGCUCCCUGCUCACAGCCUGCAGCUCAGGGCUUCGUCUGCAGCCACAACAAACCACGUCCUCCCAGCACCUGGGGUGACUCGGCCCUGCUGAGGUAAGGCAGCUCUGUGCGGGCAGUGCUGGGAGCUCUCGCUGCCCUUGCGAGGCUGUCAUGGGCAGCAGACUUCAGAAAUGCUCCCGUGUUUCUAGAGCUCAACCGACUCGAAGCUUUCACUGUCUUCACAUCUGGCCCCUGCACGUCCCUUUAGCAGUAGGUAUGCACUGAGCUGCUCUUCUUCUCUGAAUGGUGCUUGCUUUAUGUAAGCUGGCCUGGCAACAUGAAGGCAGCGCUCGUCAGCUGCCUGCUCCAAGUCUCUGUGCUGUUCAGUUCAGCAUGGGAAUUCAACCAGAGCCUCAUUUCUGAUUAGUUUCAAUAUCCUUUUAAUUUAUUGGGUACUGAGGGUAACGCACGUGUUGUUGGUGUAAAGGGACCUUGAAAGCAGAGGAAGAAAUAGGUAUGUAUUAGAAGUAGUUGGGAAUUUGGACAAGAGAAACAGAAUUUCUAAUACACUGACUGGAAGCUGUUCCUCUGGAGGGUUCUGCUUCAAGGGAUAAAAACUGAUGAAGGCUAAAACCACAUUUGCAUUUCUGAGUUGGGUUGUACAAACCCAUUAGGUCCCAGAACCACCUACAAAAUGCCUUAUUUUUAUUUUUUUUUUGCAGCAGUGUAGCACUGCAGUGUCUGUGGCUUGUGUGUUUUGCCAUUUGGGCAGGCUUCAUAUGUGUCAGUAGCUUUUUGCCCAAGUGCAGUUGCUCUGGGUAUGCAUCUUAUCAGCAUUGCUCACUGCAGGCUGAUCAGAAGGCACAGAAUGUUGCUGUAGGAUGAGUCAUGCAGUUAAGCAGCUUGUUGCUUCCAUGGUGAGACGCACCCUUGUUGUGUAUGCCAGCAAUCAUGAAACUCCUGGCAAAUACCCUGUGACGUGAACUUCUUAUGGCCUUGGUAAAUGAAAUGCCUGUGGCACUUGCUGGGAUGUGUUUUGUUUGUGCCUGCUCGCUGCUUUUGGGUAUUCUGCUCCUCCUUCUCCCAAGGAACUCCUCAGCUGAGACUUCAGUGAAGAAAUUACAGCAUCAGUGCAGACCAUUUCGGGGUGAAAUCAGUGGGGCACUUAAAGCCACAGCUUAAAUAUUCUAAUGUCUUUGGUUACUUCAGCACGAGGAGUUUAAUCUGUCCUAUUUUGAAAUAACUGUUUUAUCACAGAUCAUCCUGUCCCUGUGCUGAGCCCAGGAGGCGGUUUGGAUGCCUGAUCUUUUUGCCCUGAGGGCAGCACACAGAGCGCAUCUCUAGGAAGCGAGUGUGGGAUUUGUGAUCCAGGCUCCUUGUUGCACAGCUCACCUCCAGCCCACAGCCCAGUGAGGUGAGCCAAGAGCCACUCUGAGAUGAGAGGGAAGUAGGAUAUGAAGGGCAGAAGACCUCAGCCUAACUCCUCCAUCCAUCCAUCCAUCAGGUCUGACAUUGUCUCCUCAGUGGGCUCUAACACACUUGCAGCAGCAGUUGGUGUGUGAUGCUGUCUCAUAGGAGACAGUCUGCAAUCUCCUGCUGUUCGUUUUCUGUAAGUGGCUUUGUGUUGUUGGAGUGGGACACGCCAGCAGGAGGUCAGGACAGGCUCCAGGCACAGGUUUACCUUCUCUCUCAAGCACAAGUAGGUGAGAGUGGCAGCAGGAGGCUUUUGUUGAGGGUUACUGCUUCCACUUCUUAGCUCUCAAGGCCUCCUCAGCAAAAAUGCAAAAGCUGCUGAGCUGGACACCUUUAUCUUCAAUUUUUAACUGUAUUUCAUAUCUGAGAAAUGGAUUCUUAAUGUGGAAAGCUGGUCCUCUUACAAGGGAAUGCAGUUGUCCAAUUACCCUAGCUGGCUGCUGCCGUGUCCCUUCCGUUUUGAUGUACAGAAUUAUCACAUUUAGCAUUAAUGUGAGAACUUUUAAGACUCGUUCAGCUGGCUUGGUUUACCUUCAGUGGCUAACAUCUGAGAAAUGUGUAUAUUAGAUUCCUUAAGAAAAAAAAAGGACAAAAAACACUCCAGGCUUUUCAUCUUUAUGCCUUUUAGUGUGAUGAUGAGAGGGAGGGCUUAGGGCAUGUGCUGUGCAUGUGUGAAAUGCUCUGCUCUCUGAAGGGGAGCUUUGGAGGUAGCCUGAAUUUUCUUCCUGAUGCAGGACCAGCCCUUUCAUGUUUCUGGAAUAGAGAUUGAGUCUUUUUCUUCUCUAAUCCUUUUUUGUUGAUUGUUUUCCUUUCUACAGUCCUCCUGGAUGGUACGAAAUAAUUUAGGACACAGAUCUGGGCAUGCUCUUCAGUGAUGCUUUGGAUUUAAACACAGCGCUUCAAAAAGUGGUAUUAAAGUUACCCAGGACACCAGAAUAUGGCAGCUAGUUGAAGCGUGAGCCCUGAAAUGACAGAGUUCUCUUUUUACCUUUUAAAAUUGCAGCAUGGCUGACAAAGACUUAAUUCAUUUCCCAAACAAGCAUUUUUUUCUUAUGUAACAUCCAGUGAGUUUUGCUGGUGGGAGUUUCUUCUGCUUUUGUUUUCAGCUGAGUUGUGCUUAGGUGGGGUAGCUAGCUUAGGACUUCAAAAAGAGAAGUGAAACCAAUCAACCUGCUUUUUGACACUGCUCCUUUCUUGGUGAUACUUUUGGUUGGUCUCACAACAAUUAAAAGACAUUCAAGCCUGAACUUCAGCUUCUAAAUGAAUCUCCAGACGUUUGGUUCCUCUGUGGUGUGGGUUGGGUCUGGACAUAGAAAUCUGUGUUCAUGUUAUCUCUGGCUGCUUGUCAGCUGGCUGAGGAAGCUCCUCAGUGAGGUGGUGCAGAUCAGUUGGGCUCUCCUGCGCACCUGCAUCUCAAAUGGAAGCUCUGGGGGCAAAACAAUGAGCACAGCAUAUUUUCAGCUGCCUUCCCUGUAUUUGGGCUUUAUUAUAGAAACUGUCAGGCAAGGGAGGCAUUAUCAGCUAGCACUUAGAGUACGGCUGGGAUCGUUUGCACAGAGGGGAGCGAGCGUUUGUCACGUGCUCUGCAGAUCCCCACUCUCAACGUGUGCUGUCAGCUGUGCCAGUCUCCUGCAGCCCACACUUCUGCUCUUUGAAGUGGAAUUUUUCUCUUACACGUACACCAACAACUGCUCCGGUCUGCAGGGAGCUCUGUGUAACUGAGAGGUGUGCGUGCGUGUGGAUGCUGAGAUGGUUAUUUCGGGACAGUUUCUGUCUGGCUCUCCUACAAGGAAUGAAGUAUGGUUUGAUGUUCUCUUGAGGAGAGGGGAAAGCUUGGUGUCUGGUUAGAAUUUGGCCCGAAGAUGGCUUGACUCAGAAUAAGCUUGAGGAAGUGCUCAUGUCUUGGUUUUUAAACUUGAGAUGCGGCUCAUUUAAAAAUAGUAAAACAAGCUGAGAUUUCAUUACGUUUAAACUUACAAGUUUGGUUUUAGGAGAGAACGUCUCGAGCCAAGGAGGGUUGGUAUGUAGAUAGCCCGAGGGGAGAGGCAGUCUGUUGUCAGAACUUCGUGUAGUCGCUGUGAAACAGUACAUCCUGGACGUUUUUGACUCUUCUUGAACUCCGCUUUGAUGUGAAUCCUGCUUUGCAUGCGCUGUGGGAAAUGCUGAAAAGCCCCAAAGCUCUGGAGGUGCAUCAGCAGCGGGUGAGCAGAGGGCCUUCCUGCAGGGAGGGGACACAGAGGGAUCUUCCAGCUGUGUUCUGAUGGCAGCCAGCUUUGCCAGCGUGCCGCCCUCUGCUCUGAGCACAGCUCGGUCCCAGCAGCUCAGUGCUGGAGCACCGCUGCUCAGCCCUCCUCACUGCCUCAGCCUUGGCACUGCCCCAUCACAGCAUCAGGAGGGGAAGCUGCUCCCAAGAGUCUUUAACACACGAUGGUGGCUCUGACUGAAAUAGAAUAAUCGUAUUUUAAAGGGUGCUCUAAAGGUUUAUAAAUAUUAAUUUUGUUCUUUUGUUUCCUAAUAAAGGGGUUUGAUUCAUGAAAUCGCUAUUUAUUUAUUAACCUGACAAACUAAUAGCAAGCUCUCUUCUUUCAGUGUGUGCAUGUGCCAUAUCACAAUUCUGCUUGUCACCAUACAUAAGAACUUCAUUCAUCUGCUUUAAAAUGUCAUUGAUAACAACUUGGCAGUGGCCCAGCUCAGAGCAAGUUAACUACAAAAGGCUGCAUUGUAAACCUUUCUGAGAGUACAUGCUACAUUAAGUCUAAAAUUAAAGUACAGCCUGGUCCAGGCUGCAUCUAACUGCCAAAUAGCUUCAAACCUCUGAAAAAAUGGGGCUCUGUAUGGAGGAGCUGUGCCUGAAAAUGGGAUAGAUUGGAAUUAAGGGUGCAGUCUGCUCACUUAAACCCUCAAGGUACUGAAUUUAUAGACCUUGUAAAAUGAGAGAGGAUAUCAUAGUGAACCACAAGUAGCAAAAUGAGGACCUGGUUAUUUCCUUUGGUCUCCUCUUUCUUUGACUGAAUGCCCAGGAUGAGAAGUGCAGUCUGCAAAUGAGUCGAAGCCUCUGGGAGUUGAUUGAGGUGAUUUUGGAAUGGUACUUUGUGUCAUUUGUAAUAACCUUCCCUGACCCCAGCUGCAGUCUGCUCACCAAACACGUUUGUUCACCUGUGGGUUCGCAGGGUGGAAGCAGAGAGCCUGACAUUGUUGUGUGCGGGGCUCCCAGGAGCCUCCACCGUGGUGAGGCACUGCUCAUGAGGGCUGGCUGCGUCCAGGCAGCCCUGGUUGACCCAGCUAAUCUCACUGAACUAAGUGGAGCAGAGCAUGAGUCUUUAAGGCACCUUCAUGCCAGGUCCCCUGGGAGCAGUGUGAGCAUGUAUUAGCGUCGUGCUCAUCCCGUGCUCUGAGGAUGGGAAUGGCUCAGGCAGAGCAGUGAGGGGCUCUGCAGGGUGUGUGGUCUGAUAGCUGGCAUGGGGACAGCGAGAGCCUUCAGGAGAGGAGCAAGGGGGUAUGAUUUCAUGCUUCUUCACUUCUGUGGUUUCUUCUGUUUUGUCUCUUUCUUGAGUAUAGCAUAUGGACAGCGCCAUGGGUUAGGGAGCUCUGCGUCUUCAGAGGCUUUUCCUAUAUAGCCUUCCACUGAAGUCAAUGGGCGUGGAGGUAAGCUUUCUGACAACACUCCCACCACCCACUCUGCACCUUGGUGCACACAACACUUGUAUUUGAGUGUUGGUUUUCUCCCAAAAAGUCGCAUGCAGUUGCACAAUGAAGACACUGCUUAUUUGUGUCAAGCAGAUCUGGCUGUAGCUGUUGGAAGAGUGCAAGCAGUGAGCAUCAGUGUGGGAGACUUCACCAGUACUGCAUGAGCACUUGCCACUGCUGUCAAACAUUGCCACGGCCAAUUAAAAUACAACUUCACUGCUGAUCUGUGAGUUGAGUGUGGUUUGAGUGUAGGGCCGAAUGUCACUGAGUGAAGUGUUUGUGCUCCCGAUGUUCAGCACCUCUUGCUCUGCUGUGAUUUAUUUGUACCAGUUCUGAGUUUAGUCUGCCAACAAGUAAUCACUUUAUCAUGAGCCACUCAGAGUCAGCGAGAGUUUCCUGUUUCCUUGUCUUUCUGUUGAUUUCCUUUCUGUUGAAAUACAACUUUCUCCACUGAAACAAGAAUGUUGCUGUACUCAUCGUCUUCCAUCUAGUGGCCCAGAGGGAAGGGGAACCUCUGCAGUAUUCCCACAGGGACGUCGACAUCUGGGUCUGGUGACUAAAUUGUUAUGAUAAAACACAAAUUCAUUAAUUGAUGCUGCUGAAAUGCACUGACUUUUCUGUACUCCUAAUAGGAGGCUUUAAAAUAUCCAGCUGCAGGCUGAUCCUCUCCAAGCAUGUGAUGCUGACAUCAGUCCUAGAAGUGAGGCGUUGAACUGCCUCCAAAAAUGAGCUCAUUGGAUGAUAUUCAAUGCACUUAUUUAACAUAGAAUUAGCUAAUUUGAUUACAUGAUCACCUGCACUUACUGUUUGAGUGAUGAGAACUCAUUCCAGUGCUAGCUGCUGUCAUUUAAGUGUUGGUGUUGUAACCCCGAGGUGCUCUCGGUAGGAUGCCCUGCUGCUGCUGUGUGGUGGGAGCUGGGCUGGCAGAGCCCUCCCUAUGUCCCUAUGGACACUGCUGUAAGACUUGCCAAGUUCCUUGACUUUUCUUCUUCCUCUCCCAGGAAGUUAUAGGGGAAUAAGAGUUUGGGACUUGACUGUUAAGCAGGCCUUCUAAAACCGCUCAUAAGACUUAGUUUUUUUUUUAUGACUCUCUUGUCUUGUUUAAAUGUCUGCCUAAAAACACAGCUAUGUCCCCUUGUGGGAGUUUGGGCAGUGGUUCAGCUGAAAUCUGUCCUGCCAUCCAGCCUACAGCAGCCAGUCAUCACCAAAAACAAAUUAAACCCUGGCACGACCUCCUGGAGGCAAGUUGCAUGUGCUGAGCUUCCUCACCUCCUCCAGCCUGAGGUCAGCAGUAAUUGCAGACUUCCUCUCAAUACCUGCACAGAGCGUCCAGGCAGCACAUGGGAAUGAUGGUGACCCUGGAUACACCUCUCCAUUGUUUGGGAGACUUCAACAUGUUAAGCAUUUACCUGUAGUCAUAAUAAGAGUAUGUCUUAAUUGCUAGUGUCUGAGCAUAUCAAUGCAUACCUGACUUAACAUUUGUUUUUCUAAGCAUGGGAAUUAGAUAACCAGUAUGUCAGCAGAAGGAUUCCUGUGAAUUUGCCCCAAAACAGUGUCAUUUUUUCUCCCCCCCCCCACCCCUCAGUAUUUUCUCCUUGUUAUUGCACGUUGCAGGACUGCUUGCUCUGGAGAUCCCUGCUGAAUGGAAGUCUUUAUUGAGCUGGCCGUAACAUUGCUCUUCUCUUUCAAGAAAUACUGCUGCUAGGACAGAGGAAGAUGCUGUAUCUCACAGGGCUCUAACAGUGUUGCCUGACUGUGAUCUGUAACCAACUCAGGAAUUGAGUUGGAAAAAACACUGAGGUUCUGCAUAGGAAGUUAAAGUGAGGAGAAGCUCUUAAAGAAGUGCAGAGCAAGGGAAAAAGCUCAGUUUGAAGAGCAAGCAGUAGCAAGUGAGAUGGGAAGAGUGUUGCUCCUGUAAGUGUAAGUGAUGCUGCAGAGCAGGCAGGGGGGCUGCGUGGUGCUGGCCCUGAGCUCUGACACCCAGGGUGGUGGGAUCCUUUCCUGCUGCAGGAUUACAGGAAGCUGGCACGUUUCCAGAGUGAGUUCCUGAAACAUCCUCAGUGGGGAGGAGGUUCGGGAUGACAGAACGCUUAUUCACACCCAGCAUGUCAGCUACAGCAGCAACUGCUUGCAGUGGCUGAACGGCUGCUGCCCGUUUCCGUCACCUCCCAGAGGUGUGUCUCAGCCCCUGCUGCUGUGUUCUGCAGCACUACGUCAGCAGCAUCCUUCACCUGUCUCUGCAAAGCAAUGAAAUGAAUGUCAGCCUUUCCCAGCAGAACUCCUGCCCUGCACGUGUCCCAGGGUUGUUCAGAAUGCACACGGGGUGUGGAUGUGCAGAGCUGAGCUGCACCCCGUGCUGCCCGAGGGCAGGCGAGGAGCCCAGCCUGCCUGCAGCCCGGAGAGCCCUGCCAGUGCCUGCAGGAGGGGGUGGGGAGGGAAGCAGAUGCUCCUCGGAAGUUCAUACCGUGGUUAAUAAUGUAAUUCACAGAUGGUGGUGGAGGCCUUGAAGAGGCUUUCAUGCAGUACUUACGCUCUGUAAUAGACAGAUCAUCGCAUAAGGGCUCGUAAAUAGAGAUGACUUAAUCCCAAGGAUGAGUCUGCAGCGAUCUGUUUGAUAGUGGCCCUGUGGCUCGCUGUAACCUUCUUAUACAAUCCAAAGCCUAUAGCAUCCCUGAAUGUGGAGCACUGCCUCCAGACUGGGCCGAUCUCUGAUAAAAGCGUCAAGAUAAAAUGCAAAUACAGAUUUGAGAUCUCAAAUGGAAAUGGUUCUUAUGACAUAGAAAACAAAUUCCUUUGUCCUGGUACAGAAAUCAAUACAGACAGUGCAGGUGUGAAAUUGCUUAACACAGUGCCUUCCUCUUGAGAAGCAGUUCUGCUUUUAUUUUCCUUUAUACAGUAGGCAUUGGAAGCAAUGUUUUCUUCUGAGUAGCUGUGCAUCUUGAUGGAUAAGGAAAGGACCAUGCAUUGCACGUCCUCUUGGGUUUGCUUAUUUGUUUACUUGUUCGGAAGAAGGUCACUCCAUGCUCCAUAGCAGAUGAACAAGCUUUCUUUCCAGGAAUCACAAAAUAUAUAGCUUAAGUCUCAAUGAAACAAUGCAAGCAUUUGUUCUUGGGAGGCUGAUUGUGGAGGUCUUCAGUGAGCGCUGGCUGUAAGCUGUGUAACUGCAGGUCUGUAUUAGGGGCUUCCAAGCUGAUACGUUUACAUUAAAAAGCAAAAGUUCUGGAUAACACCAGAGCUGAUCUUGUUGUGCGUGUGCAGCUCCCACUUCCAAGGGAUUUCCAUAGUAAUAGCUUUGAUUUUUAAUUUCUCCAAGUUGAAAUCAUUUAGUAAAUUGGCUUCUUGUGAUGCUUGUCAUGUGAUGGUUCAUGAGCCCUGAAGAAUGUGCUCCUGUGACUGCAGCCAUGUGUUUGCCUGUACCAGUGCGGGUUGUGCUGUGUUCCUGCUGUGUUUGGAGCUGGGGAGCGAGGCUGGGGGUGGUGAGGGCUGCCUCCACAAUGACUGACAUUUCCAAGCAGCAAAAAAUGCUGCCGAUGAAGUUGUGUCCAGCUUCCAGUCCUGCUGCUGUGUGGAGGCCUGCUGUUGGGCUGUGCUGCUGCGCUGCACUGCCUGCACACUUGGAUUAAUCCAGUGUUUUUUUGGAGCACCUUACUUCCUCCAAGCUGCACCUUGUUUUCAGCUCUCCCUCUAAUACUUGUUGCUUCACACUUCAGGAUUUAGCUUGCUGUUCAUGCUUGCAUUAAAAAACCAAAGGUUCAAAGCCUCAGCUCACAUUGUGUAGCCCCAGCAGUAUUUCCACUUGGCUCAGGAGAUGCGGAUAUGUCAGCUGAGGGAUCCCUUCUCAUUUGGCUGGUCAGCCAAGCUCUCCUCAAGCGCAUUAGGAGGAUCUACAGCUUAAGUUCAUCAGAAGACUGACCUGUUCUGGUUUUAAUGAGAUUUAUUAUACGUGUACCUUUUGGAUUUGACUGCUUUGGCCUUCAAAACAGCCUGUACAAAUCUGUUAGUAAAAGCGGGGCUGGCGGAAAGCUGACUCCUCAUUCUGAACCUGCCCUCCUUCCAGAUUAUGGAUUCCUUUAAAAUGAAAAUACCAUCCCUUGUGCUGCUGGCACGCGGCUUGGCUGCACGGCUUCGCCAAGUGCUGGCAUUGGUGCUUCCUUUCGAGCUCCUGCACAACUCCCUCCUAGGAAACCGCAGUGAUGGAACGCUGAUCCUGCGGCUCACGUUUGGGGAGGACAGAGGAAAGCUGGACAGCUGUCACAGCUGAUGGAUGGGUCACGGUGUGCAACUUCUGCAGGCACAGCUACAGCCCUGUACGUGUCUGGGGGAGAACGGAGGCAGGGCUGUCCUCACAUACACAUGUGGGCAGGGUAUGAUUUGAUCCAGACUUACAUGUGUGGUACAGAUGUGGUUGUGAGCAUGAGAUGAGAAGUUACAGUUGCUCUGCACGUAUGUUGACCUGCAGGAUAUCAGCACCCACACGUUUUUAAGUGUGAUUUAUUUGUUUGAAAAAACUGUGUGUGUGGUUGUUUUUGGGGGGGAUGGGGGGAGAGUAUGUUAUUGUGUUGUGGCUUUUUUUUGGCCAGACUUUGUUUGGUAGUUGUGCAUUGGAUGGUUGUGCAUUAGGUGGCUCUGUUUGGCCAGAGCUGCCCCUCAGCCUUUGGUGGGGUUGGACCUGGGGUCCACGGCUGGGGAUGGGGUCCAUGUGGGGAUUCCACUCAUCUCACCAGGACUUGGAGAGCGUUGCAGCUGGGCACCCUCUGGAGCUGGGAAGCAGAGUGUGGUUUGUUGGGCUGUGUGCUCUGGCUGUUUGUGUGCGCAGCCCUACAGUCUGCUGAGAUGAAUGCAUUGCUGGGUAUAAUGCCUUUUUUUGUUGUUUUUUUUUUUUUGUUUUUUGUUUUUUUUUAAUAAAUGUACCUAUUAAUGGAAGCAGAGUACAUAAUGUAAUCCUAAAAUAGCUCCUCCAUGAAUGCAGAAACAUUCCACUUGUGACUAAUCAGCCAUUCAGAACGAGCAUUUAAGUAGGUAGCAGAGGCUUUCCAUAUCUGUGGUUAGGAAUGCGCUGGGCUCAGCCUUGCCCCCCCCCAGCCCAUACCUGCUGUCUCCACAAGCACCCUGCUCACUGCCUGCCUGGGGCUGCCCAUCCUGCUGCUCCAGGCUGAAGGAUGAUGCUGAUAAACAGUCCUCAAAACCAGACCGGUGCUUCUCUUGCUCGUGAAUGAACCAGAGCACAAAGAGUGUAUGUUCUGAGCCCUGGCUGCAGUGCAUGGCCUGGAGAGCUUGGUGAGCCGGGCAGCCCAUGGGCAGUGUGCUCCUGAAGAGGCCUUUUCCUUCUGCCUCUCCAAGUCCAGCAAUGCCCUACGGCUGUCUUAUUUAGAGAUGACCUCAAAGGCAAGUUGUGCUCUCUUCCCAAAGCGGGAUUUUCACGGGGGCUUACGCUGGUUUAAGAUUGCAUUACCCUAGCGUAGCAUAAACCUGUUUCCAGUUAUCUGAAGGCAGAAAGCAGCUCGGGGAUUUGGAUUGAUUCCUGCUGACUUCACCAAUCCCUAAGGAGCACUUUGCCCCCACCUACCUGCUCCUAAUUUCAGGCAAUCAGAUGUGUCCUUUGCUGUGCUACGUGGCAGGACAGCCUUUGGGAAGCAGCCCCAGCACACCCUGCUCCUCAGGUGGCUGCUCACUCAGGGCACUGGCCAAAGGGAAGGUGUUUCACAGAGGUUUACAUUUGAGGAGCGAUGCUGCCAGCUGUGUGCCACUUACCCAGCGUUUGCUCUUUGGAGGGAGAUGUGGACCGAGCUGCCCUGCCCGCCUGGAUAAACCAGCAAAGCCUCUGGAGAGAGAGAAACAGGACAUUGGUUCAUUAACAGAUGAAGAGCGCUGGAUAGCUGCGGGAAUUAAGAGCUGGACAGCAUUGCCUUUUUUUUUUUCCCUCUCCUCCCACAGCAAUUUGGACAGAUACCCAAAUAAACAAUAACAAACAGAUUUUUGGAGGAGCUGGCUGGGAGAAAUAACAAAAGUCAAGGGACGGUCAUUAUGCAGCUCAGUUCUUCUCAUGUCUGACCACUCUGGAAAGCCUCCUGUUACUCCUCAGCUUCAUUUUCCUUUCUCAUUUUCCCUCUACCCCCAUUGCAUGAGGUGCCAUUGUACUUGCUGCUGUAAGUUUGGUUGUGUCACCACCUCCUCCAUAGUGCUCGUUGCAUCGAGGGGAGGUUUGCAUCUAGCUCUAUUCAGUGACCCUAUGGUGACCAUGGGAAAAGUCACAGCUGCCAAGCUGAACUGUACCUACUUGAGAAUGGCUGCCUGGUUUUUCACGUACAUCAAUGCUAUGGGGAUUGAGCUGAGACUGCUGUGAGUGUGCAUCUAGGUGUAACUAAAACCCCCAAACUUGCUUUUAUUUGUGAAGUUGUUGCUAACAGGAAGAUGGCUGAUUGAUUGCAAGACAAAGACCCUUCCCUUCGCUGUGCACCUCCCUUCCUUCCACCCUCCUCCUCCUAAAAUAGCCCUUCAGCAUCAGGAGCGAAAACCAUACAUCUUCUUUCUCAAAGCACACUUAACGUUUGUCCAUUCCAUGAGAAACUGGGCUUUGUCCUAAACCAGAAGCUGGUGGAGCACCCAUCCUUCCCAACCACGUGGGGACAGCUUCACCUCUGUGAUUCUCACCUCUUGUGCAUGCCUGGCGAUGGGGUCCUCAUCGUGGUAACCUGUGCAGCCGGGCCGUCCCUGUGCCCAGCUGGUCCUGCUCCAGAAGCCCUGCCCUGGGACUCACCAGCCUACGUGUGAGUUUUUGACUUCGUCUUACCCAAACCAUACCUCUGACAUCAGCAACAAUGCCUGGUAUGCAGACUGGAGCUGUUAGAGUCAGUGAGUUUUCUCACGCUCCUCCCAUCACUGUAAGUGGAAAUGGACACCUGUAGAUUUCGGAUGUCCGAUGGACAGUCUCAUUAUCUUUGCCUAAAAGUAGACUGAAGGGAUACCUUCAAGGCUCUGGGAAGCCCUACAUUUCACAGAGAAUCCUCAUGCUGUCAGAUGUCUGCCUGAAAGUCAGAGGAGUCUGUUAGGGAGAUGCCAGGUUUUUUCUUAGUGUCUGUAUCUGUCUAGAUGGUGACAAGCAAUAUGCCACAACGCUGUUUUAGAGAGAAAUCAUCCAUAGCGCUGCUUCGUGUGGUGCAGAGAUUUUUAAUGUCAAUAUGAAGUGUUUGUGGGAUUUUUUUUUCCCUUGGGAGCAUCUCUGGGAUUAAAGCAAAAGCUGUUGUACUCCCCAUCAGGCGAGCUUAUUUCAUUGCAGCAAUUCAAUGGACAGUAAUCUUUUUAAUCUGUGCUCGUGCUGUAGUGUGGCAGGCUAUGUCGUUCUGUUCCUCGUUCUCACUCUUGUACCAGUUGGAAGCUUCUUGUGUCCAAAUGUUUGAGUGCUAUUUCUGCAGUUUUUAGUGAGGCUCAAUCUGGACGAAGUUUGUGUAAAUCCCUGAGCUCCAGCAGAAAGAUGAAAGCUCUGAUAAGGAACUUGUUUUUUCUCUCUCCAGAGCAAGAGCACAAUGUCUUUGACCUAAAUAUACCAAUUACUGAUGCAGCAAAGUGAUACAGAAAACAAUCUGGAAGGAAUGCCAACCUCUGAAUGAAAGCUUGGCUGCAGAGAGCGGCUGCGUAUGUGGGACCUCAAACACGGAAGAAAUGUGAGGAGGAAAAGGGUGUUCAUUCAAAAUGUAUCAUGCAAAUAGUGAUGGGAGAGGGAGAAACUGCUGGGAAAGCUGCUGCUCUGCCCCAUCCCUGUGUCUGUGGAGAGGUAGGAGCACUAACGCAGCACCGUGCAGCUCUCCCCUCCCCUUCCCUGGCCUACUUUGCUCAGCUCAGCUGUCUAAAGCACUUUUAUGUCAAACUCGAAGGCUUCCUGGCAGCAGCUGCUAUUUUUAAAGUGUUUGAUGGCAAAUGUAAGUAUUUCAGAAGGUGGCUAUGAGCUACUUCUUUGCAGCGUAGGGGACUCCAUUAAUUAAUUUUAUCAUUUGCAGUAGUGGUUAAGGUUAACCUUCUCCAGAGGCUGGGGGGUUCUGAAGAGCACUGGGUUUCUGUUCAGCCCUGAGACCCGUCCUGCGGAGGGGAGCCUUGGCUCCACUCUCCUUAUAUCUUCUUAUAUCACCACUCUCCUUACAUCAGCUCACACAAAUGGCUGCAGCCUGCAGGAUGUCUGUUCUGCAGGGGCUCUGCCUGCCCAUGUACUGUUGCUGUGGGCAGAUCCCCAUGUACAGCACCAAUGGAGCGCUCCCAGACGAAGUCAGCCUGGAAGUUGUGUUAGUUCAGCAUCCCCAUCCUGCCCUGGAAAUCCUGCUGAUGAAUUUGGGUGCAUUCUCAGGCUUCCUACCACAAAAAGGGAACCUUUUCUCGGCCCAGGUUUUCAAGUCAGUCCUUGUUUCCCUUUACCAGCCAGUGUUGUUGCUGGCACUUCAGGCUUACUGCAAAUGCAGCAUGUGUGGGCUUUAUGCAAACACAGUUUAUUUAAGAGAUUGGUACAACUCAAGCUACUGUAUGAAUAUCUCUGCUGCAGAAAGAUGCAAUAGAUAGUUGGCAAUCUGACUCAAACGUUUGUGUCUUGUUUUCUUCCAGCAGAAGCCUUGAGAUUAUUGACAGGAGCAGCCCUACACAGGGCAUACUGUCAAGUAGAAAUCUAUUGAAUAUUUCAUCUUGGAAGGUCUGAACUUGGGUUGUGUGUGAUGUCUGUGGACCCAGGCCUCUGUUCACGUGCAGCUCUGGGCAUCUCGUGGCAGUCCUGCACAGACUUGGGUACCGCGGGGUAGCUCUGAUGUCACUGUGUCAGUGUCAGCGGUUGAGCUGAGCUUUGAGGAACCCACAUGUACAACGGAUGCUCUUAUCUCUGGUGACUUGUACUGUGCUAGAAGAAAAGCUUGCUUCAUACUUGGUGACACCCAAGGAGAAGUCCUGCAUGGAAGAGCUUGCAGUGCACAGUGCAGCUGUAGUGCAGAGAUGCACGUGGGGAUCAGUGGAAGCAACAGAGAAGAAUAUUUGCACGCUUCAACAGUCGCCCAGCCUCUGAUUUCCCAGUGCAGCUGCACGCUUCCCUGCAGAGGUGGUUUUAGGCUCAGCAGCACUUGGUGUGUGUUUGAACAACUGGAUGGGACCUAGCUCAGGGACAGGCAGGCAGGAAAUGAGGAGCUUGCCUGUUUAAUUUUAGACCUCUUUUUUGAUUACCUCUUUUGAGUCUGGGUCUGCAGUUGUUCACAUGAUGCUGGCUUGACAGGUAAAAGGCGUCUGUGAUGGCACGAUCACAUCUGAAUCUUGCUACAGAUUUGGGGGGAUUCACAUAAACUAGGUUUCUGUUGUAUCAAUAAGAAGCUGCCAGUUGCUCUUUGCUAAGAGGUGAAAAGGCCUCAAAUUGUCACAGCAUUUUGUAAUAGCUUUUGUGUUUCUGCUCUUGCACAAGACCUCUCUGCUGGUUAAGUAAGGAUCAUUUUAAAAACCAUAGUAUUCACUUUGAAAUUUAACAGUUUUGUGAAAUGAGAAUGACUUCACAUCCACCUCCUGCUUCUGCCUGCCUGGAAGGAAUUGGGAUCUCUCGCUGCUGGUAUUUGUUGCUGUGCAGGGGGUUCUAUAAAAGUAUCUCAGACACUGGAAAGCAGUGAAGUUGCCCAUGCAGAAAGUGUCAGCCAGGCAAAAUUUAGAAAAUAGAGAAGUGGGGAGAAGUUCCUCAAUGUCUGAAGUGCGUACUUAGCAGCUGUCAGCUAAGUGUUGAGGCUCAUGGAGUGGAACAACCUGGCAUCCUGGUCCAUAUUGGCAGUGCUCUCUGUAUCGAUGGCUGCAGCUUGUUCCCAAUAGAAGCGUUUCCCAGGCACUGCCUGCACAGUCAGGUAUGUUGGCACAAAAUCGCAUGCAAUUAUUACUUUGGAAUCACUUUCAAGGCUUGCAGGACGUAUUUGCAGGGUGUAGUCUGUGUGAAGUGUUCCUGGUUAGAAAUGCCGUGAAUGUUACCCUAAUAAUCCUGUCUCUUGGAACAAAAGAAGCUGUUCUGAUGUUCCCAGUGUUAAGCACAGGCAGACACCUCCAAUCCUGUGCAUUAGAGCACAGACUGGAUCUUGUUUAUCACUGCAUCAGUCUGCAAGGAAGAGAUUUGUAGGAACGGAGCCGCUUGCGUGACACGGAGCGGCUGCCAUUGCACAGAGCAGAAUAACGCUCAGAAAUGUCGCUCCUCUCCCUUGCCCUUUUGAUGACAAACAGUUGGCAGCAGAUGAAAGCACAAACAGGAUGAAUGUUUUGCAUAUUCUGUCCUACAUGGCCCAAAAAGAGCAGAGAUGGAAUUUUUUUCAUCUUCCACUUUAAACUGCAUUUAAUAUGUGGCCUAGUUCUGCGCUCUGCGACGCGCUUCCCCCCAGGCCGCACUUCUGCUCUGUGGGCUGGAGGCCUGGGGCUGCCCUGGGGCUCUGGGUCGGUUCCUUUGCUGCACUGAAUGCGUCGAGCCCUGGUUCUGGCUCUGGCCUGGCCCUGGUUCUGGCUAUGGCUGUGGCUCUGGUUCUGGUGGUAAUGCAGAAGGCUGCAGUGGGAGCAGUCAGUGUGGGUGUCCUGGGUUGCAUCUCUGAGUGCUGUCCCUGCAGCCCACGGUUCCUCACAGUGCUUUCCCCAGGAGUCCGCAGGUUCGAACCACUUGCUGGCACUUGCCAGCUGUGCUUCCUUCUUUUUGGGAAUCUAGAAGCAGUAAAAGCUUGAGGUGCCUGCUGCUGUGUAGCAUGGGAGCCCCAGCACAGCCGCCGUGUGUCCGUGUGUCCGCCGCCUGUCCCCUGUCCUGCCCUUCCCUCUAGUGGGGUGACCCGUCAUUGCAGCCGAGCCGUGGGUCACAGCCUCCACAGGCACUUCUCUUUAGGCAAUCGGCCACUUCUGACACAGAUCUGCUACGUAAUAUUAAAGAGGGCUUCACAGAGGCAGGUGGUGGUGGUUGGUCCCGUCUGGCCUCCUCCACUGAGCUCCUCCACUGAUUUUUUGUGGGGCCAUAGCAAUGAUUCGUGUUUCAGAACUUUGGUCACUGUGGGACUGUUGGUUGUGGCCUACUGAGCUCGCCAGUUGCUGUGACCUGGAUUUUUUUUUGAUGUGUGGAAAUGGACAUUCAUUAUAACACUAAAAAUGUUUGCAUAGUUUGAGUACCUGAAUGACGCAGUAAAGAUUUCGAGUGCUCUUUCAGCUAGUGUUCCUUUCUGUGGUUUUGAGGAACUUGUUCUCCAGCCAAUUAAAUGUUCUUGAGCCAUUUUGAUUUACUCAGUUUUUUUUUAAUGUCUUAAUCUAUCCCACGUGUACCCUCUUCCCCUUGUCCACCUCUCUGAGUGCCCCUGUACUCCCCACCAACUUCACCGUAGUAAAUUGAUGGGGAUUUAUGCUCUGGCAGGACCUGAGGACUUCCAGCAACAACAAACACACGCACAACAAGAAGUGGUGCUUUCAGAGGUAGAUAGCAAAUUGUCCAAAGGGAUUCAAACUCAGCUGGGUGAGUGCUGACAUCUCAAACUGAGCGUGGCUCCGCGAUGGCAGCUCUGCUCCUCGGGAGGCUGCUCUUCCCCUGUGCUUCUGCCCCUUUCUGAAUGCUGCCACGGCUUGCUUCGUGUUGGCCGUGGAAUUCAUUGAGAUACUCAUGUUGGGAGGAGGUGAGCACACCGGCUUCCUUAUCAGCCUGCUGGCAUGUUGAGCUGCUUCUUAGGUGUGAUGAGUAGAAGGCAGUUGUGCCAGCUCUUGCUUGUUGUGGACGGUCUGCAAGUUUUAGCUUGAAGCUGUGGUUGGAAGUGGCUCCAUGUGAACUCCUUCAUGGUAUUUCUCGUUCUGUUCUUAGAAAUAGAAGAGCAGCAGGAAGCAUGUGUUUUCUAGCUGCUUUCAUACCCACAGAUUCAGGUCAUUUAAAUAAGAGAAACAGACAGUUAACUUACUGUACUCCUCUCCUGUUCAGAGCUCAAUGCUUAAACAUGUCAGGUUGUGUGUUCUGCAGAGGUGUCCAUGCCCAUAGCUUGCCCUGCUCUGCUGCACGUGCACCUUCAGCACUGCAGCACUUAUGCAGAUCUGCAUAAGCAUCGUAAGUUUUCACUGAUUAAAAACAUGCUGUACCUGAUCUCUAGCCAGUGUCUGGCAAUAGAUGCUUAGAUGUGCUGUGACAUGCAAUUAAUAGCUGAGAUCUCUCUACUGAGGUAUUGCUUUGGGCUGUGGUAGGACUGCCUGCUGAAGUUCAGCACACUAGAGAUUGUAUGUACUAAUUUUGCAUUUAACACAGCCUGGUAUGUCACGUGGAGCUUCCUGCUCUGUGUGCACCAGGUCCCAUUGGGUGGGUUCAGUACAUGCUGGUUUUGUGGACUUUUAAAUUCCAGUGCUGAUGCUGCAAUACCAAUGAGUAUGGUGUACAUAAAAGUGAUUAAAAAAAAGAAAACGAGAACAGAUAGUAUUUUUGCCCAGAAUUAAACUAUGUGUCUGGCUCAUAGCUGCUGCAUGCAGUGGGGGCAUUGGCAGGAAGGGAGGGAACACGGCAGGUCCUGCAGUUUCACUCUGUGCUGAGUGAAGAAGGUUUUGAGGGAAUGUGAAGUGACAGCUGAACAGAAAGUGAGCUCCUGGGUAGUGACAGCUCCAUGCAGGAGCAGCGAGAAUUUCCUUUGCUUUAUGCUGUCAAGCCAGUGAAAUGCAAAUCUUUGGGUGCUGUAUAUAUUAAAGCAUAUUAACUCUUCUUUUCCUUCCUCUCCUAUGU